UACAGAGGUCUCAAGCGUUGUUCGGAUUCAUUGGGCGUAAAGGGUGCGUAGGCGGCGCGGUAAGUCGGGUGUGAAAUCUUGGAGCUUAACUCCGAAACUGCAUUCGAUACUGCCGUGCUUGAGGACUGGAGAGGAGACUGGAAUUUACGGUGUAGCGGUGAAAUGCGUAGAUAUCGUAAGGAAGACCAGUGGCGAAGGCGGGGUCUCUGGACAGUUCCUGACACUGAGACACGGAAGGCCCAGGGGGAGCAAAACGGG
rnacentral:rRNA from 1 species